rnacentral:rRNA from 1 species
AAAUUGAAGAGUUUGAUCAUGGCUCAGAUUGAACGCUGGCGGCAGGCCUAACACAUGCAAGUCGAGCGGUAACACAGAGAGCUUGCUCUCGGGUGACGAGCGGCGGACGGGUGAGUAAUGUCUGGGAAACUGCCUGAUGGAGGGGGAUAACUACUGGAAACGGUAGCUAAUACCGCAUAACGUCGCAAGACCAAAGUGGGGGACCUUCGGGCCUCAUGCCAUCAGAUGUGCCCAGAUGGGAUUAGCUAGUAGGUGGGGUAAUGGCUCACCUAGGCGACGAUCCCUAGCUGGUCUGAGAGGAUGACCAGCCACACUGGAACUGAGACACGGUCCAGACUCCUACGGGAGGCAGCAGUGGGGAAUAUUGCACAAUGGGCGCAAGCCUGAUGCAGCCAUGCCGCGUGUAUGAAGAAGGCCUUCGGGUUGUAAAGU